UACGGGGGGAGCAAGCGUUGUUCGGAUUUACUGGGCGUAAAGGGCGCGUAGGCGGCCAGCACAAGUCAGUUGUGAAAUCUCCGAGCUUAACUCGGAACGGUCAACUGAUACUGUGCGGCUAGAGUGCAGAAGGGGCAACUGGAAUUCCACGUGUAGCGGUGAAAUGCGUAGAGAUGUGGAGGAACACCGGUGGCGAAGGCGGCAUCCUGGACCGACACUGACACUGAGGAGCGAAAGCCAGGGGAGCAAACGGG
rnacentral:rRNA from 1 species